rnacentral:rRNA from 1 species
CUACGGGGGGCAGCAGUGAGGAAUAUUGCACAAUGGGGGGAACCCUGAUGCAGCAACGCCGCGUGGAGGAUGACGCAUUUCGGUGUGUAAACUCCUUUUAUAUGUCAAGAAAAUGACGGUAGCAUAUGAAUAAGCACCGGCUAACUCCGUGCCAGCAGCCGCGGUAAUACGGAGGGUGCAAGCGUUACUCGGAAUCACUGGGCGUAAAGGACGCGUAGGCGGGUUGGAAAGUCAGGUGUGAAAUCCUACAGCUUAACUGUAGAACUGCACUUGAAACUGCUAAUCUAGAGUAUGGGAGGGGGAGAUGGAAUUAGUGGUGUAGGGGUAAAAUCUGUAGAUAUCACUAGGAAUACCUAAAGCGAAGGCGAUCUCCUGGAACAUUACUGACGCUAAGGCGUGAAAGCGUGGGGAGCAAACAGGAUUAGAUACCCCGGUAGUC